UAGGGAAUCUUCCGCAAUGGACGAAAGUCUGACGGAGCAACGCCGCGUGAGUGAAGAAGGAUUUCGGUUCGUAAAACUCUGUUGUUAGGGAAGAAAAAAUGUAUAGUAACUAUAUACAAAAGAGACGGUACCUAACCAGAAAGCCACGGCUAACUACGUGCCAGCAGCCGCGGUAAUACGUAGGUGGCAAGCGUUGUCCGGAUUUACUGGGCGUAAAGGGUGCGUAGGUGGUCUUUCAAGUCGGUGGUUAAAGGCUACGGCUCAACCGUAGUUAGCCUCCGAAACUGGAAGACUUGAGUGCAGGAGAGGAAAGUGGAAUUCCCAGUGUAGCGGUGAAAUGCGUAGAUAUUGGGAGGAACACCAGUAGCGAAGGCGGCUUUCUGGACUGCAACUGACACUGAGGCACGAAAGCGUGGGUAGCAAACAGG
rnacentral:rRNA from 1 species